rnacentral:rRNA from 1 species
GACAGAGGUUGCAAACGUUGUUCGGAAUUACUGGGCAUAAAGCGCACGUAGGCGGUUCGUUAAGUCAUGUGUGAAAUCCCUCGGCUCAACCGAGGAAUUGCGCCUGAUACUGGCGGGCUAGAGAUCGAUAGGGGUGAGUGGAACUCCAGGUGGAGCGGUGAAAUGCGUAGAUAUCUGGAGGAACACCGGUGGCGAAGGCGGCUCUCUGGGACGGUACUGACGCUGAGACGCGAAAGCGUGGGGAGCGAACAGG